GGAGGUGGUGGAGGUGUGGAUGAGGAGGAGUAGGUGUGGAGGUGAUGAUGGAGAUGGUGGUGGAGGUUGUGGAGGAAGAGGAGGAGGAGGUUAUGAUGUAGGAGGUGAUGGAGGAGGGAGUAAGACACACACCUGAGAACCAGGUGGUCUGGUCGGCUGCAAACAACGAGAGGAAUGCAACAUCUGCCGCGCGAUCAGUCACUGAGUUCGGUGCGCUUCGUGCACACCUCCCUUCAUUCCUCCGCAGCUGUGGCCGAGGCCAUGGGUUGUGCUAAAGGGAUUCCUGCGGAGCGCCGGGCUUGACUGCAGGUGGCUGGGAGAUUUUGCAAGGAGCAGCGCACGCUCGGUUGACGGUGGCUGGCGAAACGUCGGACAGCACGCGAUGGAGGAGAGCCGCCAUCCGGCACAACCGUAGAAAUCAAACCCACGAAUUCCGUGCGUGCGUGCGGUGUCGCUGUGUCAUCAACCGGCGUGUGUGCGCUGCCGCACUUGAAGAUAUCCAAGCCGCGUGUCUGUUUCCAGCCGGCCAUCUCGCACAGGACGCCUUCUCGGGUUUCCCUCCUUCGCCGUGCUGAAAAAAGGGUGAGUCUGUUACGCGUGAACCUUCACAACAACGGGGCAGGACAGAUGAUGGCUGAUGGUCAAGGCUGGUGGCGGAGCGCUCGACAGAGAAUGGAGCGUGUGGGAUAGUGGGCAGAUGGAGUGAAGAUGACAUCGGCUCGUGUGCAGGUGCCAUGUGGAUUAUCAUCACAUCACAGCCUCGCGAGAGAUGCCUUCAUUCAGCAAUGGAUUGACCAUCACUGUUGCUGAUGAUGAUGAUGAAUGCUCUAUAGCAGCCCAUAAUGAGUAUUAUAGAUGUAUGAUUUUGUGAGUGUAUGUGUGCUAAGGCCCUAACUGACGACACCCAGCCUGACUCUGCUGAUGCGACCACGGAGGUCAAAUCCAGUCCAGAGUUUUGUCUGUUUAGACAAAUGCUGGCGGAUAAACACGGUUCAGACAGCCAACAGGAUGAAGUGCGAAAGGAAACGCGUUAAGUGAUAAUUAGCCUCCACAGGAGGCCGAUCGCUUGGUUUACUGAUAAUGGGGUUUGUGUAUUUGGAAGUGUUUUGGCACGAGAUUUUGAAGCGUUGUUAAAGGGACGACCUUCUUAACCCGCCCGGUGAGUGAAACCAAUAAAACUCUCAA